rnacentral:rRNA from 1 species
CCGGUCGAGCCCGCCAGAGGUUACCGCUAUCGAGAUUCGACUAAGCCACGCGAGUUGAACGUUCUUCGGAACAUGGCGGACCGCUCAGUAACACGUGGACAACCUACCCUUGGGUCCGGCAUAAUCCUGGGAAACUGGGAAUAAUUCCGGAUAGGUCACCGAUGCUGGAAUGCGCGGUGGCCGAAAGCUCCGGCGCCCGAGGAUGGGUCUGCGGCCUAUCAGGUUGUAGUGGGUGUAACGUACCUACUAGCCUACGACGGGUACGGGUUGUGAGAGCAAGAGCCCGGAGAUGGAUUCUGAGACACGAAUCCAGGCCCUACGGGGUGCAGCAGGCGCGAAAACUUUACAAUGCGGGAAACCGUGAUAAGGGGAUCUCGAGUGCCAGCAUAUAAUGUUGGCUGUCCAGAUGCCUAAAAAGCAUUGUUAGCAAGGGCCGGGCAAGACCGGUGCCAGCCGCCGCGGUAACACCUGCGGCCCGAGUGGUAACCGCUAUUAUUGGGUCUAAAGGGUCUGUAGCCGGCCAGGUAAGUCCCUUGGGAAAUCUGGCAGCUCAACUGUCAGGCUGCUAGGGGAUACUGUUUUUCUUGAGACCGGGAGAGGUGAUAGGUACCUUGUGGGUAGGGGUGAAAUCUUAUCAUCCUCUAUCGACCACCAUUGGCGAACGCUUCUCUCCAUAACGGGUCCGACACUUAUGGACCAAAUCUAUCUGCGCAAACCUGAUUUUUUACCCCGGUACUCCUAGCCGUAAACGAUGCUCGCUAGGUGUCAGUCACGGUGCGACCGUGAUUGGUGCCGUAGCGAAGCCGUGAAGCGAGCCACCUGGGAAGUAUGGCCGCAAGGUUGAAACUUAAAGGAAUUGGUGGGGGAGCACCACAACGGGUGGAGCCUGCGGUUUAAUUGGAUUCAACGCCGGAAAUCUCACCGGGGGCGACAGCGAUAUGAAGGUCAGGCUGAAGACUUUACCGGAUUAGCUGAGAGGUGGUGCAUGGCCGUCGUCAGUUCGUACUGUGAAGCAUCCUGUUAAGUCAGGCAACGAGCGAGACCCACAUCCACAGUUGCCAGCAUAUUCUCCGGAAUGAUGGGUACACUGUGGAGACCGCCGCUGCUAAAGCGGAGGAAGGAGUGGGCAACGGUAGGUCAGUAUGCCCCGAAUCUCCCGGGCUACACGCGGGCUACAAUGGUUGGUACAAUGGGCAUCUACCCCGAAAGGGGAAGGAAAUCUCUUAAAACCAAUCGUAGUUCGGAUUGAGGGCUGCAACUCGCCCUCAUGAAGCUGGAAUCCGUAGUAAUCGCGUUUCAACAGAACGCGGUGAAUACGUCCCUGCUCCUUGCACACACCGCCCGUCAAACCACCCGAGUAGGGUCUGGAUGAGGGUGUGUUUUAUUGACACAUUCGAAUCUGGGCUUUGCAAGGGGGGUU